GGAGAUGUGGCAGAGCGGCCGAAUGCACCGGUCUUGAAAACCGGCGACGAGUGAUCGUCCAGGGGUUCAAAUCCCCUCGUCUCCG
rnacentral:tRNA from 1 species